rnacentral:rRNA from 1 species
UCAAACUGGGAUUAGAUACCCCACUAUUUUUAGUUGUAAAUUUAGUUUAAGCUUACCAGAGUACUACGAACAAAAAAGUUUAAAACUCAAAGGGCUUGGCGGUGUUUUAGACCUCUCAGGGGAACCUGUCUCGUAAUCGACAGUCCGCGUUAAACCUAACCUUUUAUAGCAAUACAGCUUGUAUACCGUCGUCGUCAGGUAACUUCUUAAAAUAUAGUAGUUAGCCCGAGAAUCAAGUUAAUUAGGACGUCAGAUCAAGGUGCAGCCAAUAAAAAGGUGAGGAUGGGUUACAAUUACAUAUUUGUAAAUACGGAAAAUAUUUGAAAUAUAGUAUCAUAAAGGAGGACUUGAAAGUAAUUUUAGUUAUAUAGAUAGAAUGAAUACGGCUCUGAAACGUGCACACACCGCCCGUCACCCUCUGCAGUCAA